UCAUCGUGACGCACGCGACAACAUUGUACAUAAUAAUAUGUAAAGCAGAAUGACUUAUGGCGACCUUGACAGACGAGAGUACCACGGGCGGGUCGCAUUCAAUUUGUCUUAACAAAAACAUGGCUAUUAAAAAAAUAUCAACAGCAGUCACGGCGAUUUAACAAAUAAACAACGACGUGCGACUGUGACACAUUUUAAUGUCAUUCAACCUCACGCCAAUCCCGUCUCAGGGUUCAUGUACUAUGAUGCAGCAAUGCAUAUCAUUAGUGACAUCUAACGCCACAAUAAUUAUCAGAGCCCUGACAGGAAUAAACCACUAAACACCAUCAACUGACCCCUGCAGGCGGCGCUGAGUCCGCAGCAGAGCUCUUUAAAGUCUAUGUGACCAUCUCUGUUCUCAUCGAAGGCUAGGAAGGUACCCUCGACGGCUGCUCUCGGCAGAGGAGGUGACAACAGUCCCCUCAUGCUCUGUAC